CUACGGGAGGCAGCAGUGGGGAAUCUUGGACAAUGGGCGCAAGCCUGAUCCAGCCAUGCCGCGUGAGUGAAGAAGGCCUUAGGGUCGUAAAGCUCUUUCGCCAGAGAUGAUAAUGACAGUAUCUGGUAAAGAAACCCCGGCUAACUCCGUGCCAGCAGCCGCGGUAAUACGGAGGGGGUUAGCGUUGUUCGGAAUUACUGGGCGUAAAGCGCGCGUAGGCGGAUUAGUCAGUCAGAGGUGAAAUCCCAGGGCUCAACCCCGGAACUGCCUUUGAUACUGCUAGUCUUGAGUUCGAGAGAGGUGAGUGGAAUUCCGAGUGUAGAGGUGAAAUUCGUAGAUAUUCGGAGGAACACCAGUGGCGAAGGCGGCUCACUGGCUCGAUACUGACGCUGAGGUGCGAAAGUGUGGGGAGCAAACAGGAUUAGAUACCCCGGUAGUC
rnacentral:rRNA from 1 species